rnacentral:rRNA from 1 species
UGGCGGCAGGCUUAACACAUGCAAGACGAGCGGUAGCAGAUCUAGCUUGCUAGAUGCUGACGAGCGGCGGACGGGUGAGUAACGCGUAGGAACCUGCCCAGUAGUGGGGGAUAGCCCGGGGAAACUCGGAUUAAUACCGCAUACGCUCUACGGAGGAAAGAGGGGGCUUCGGCUCUCGCUAUUGGAUGGGCCUGCGUGAGAUUAGCUAGUUGGUGAGGUAAUGGCUCACCAAGGCGACGAUCUCUAGCUGGUCUGAGAGGAUGAUCAGCCACACUGGGACUGAGACACGGCCCAGACUCCUACGGGAGGCAGCAGUGGGGAAUAUUGCACAAUGGGCGCAAGCCUGAUGCAGCCAUGCCGCGUGUGUGAAGAAGGCUUUCGGGUUGUAAAGCACUUUCAGUGGGGAGGAAGGCCUCGUAGUUAAUAGCUGCGAGGAUUGACGUUACCCACAGAAGAAGCACCGGCUAACUCCGUG